rnacentral:rRNA from 1 species
AGAGAUGAUGGCAACGGGUGAGUAAUACAUAGGUAACCUGCCCCUGUGCGGGGGAUAACAGGAGGAAACUCCUGCUAAUACCGCAUAGCCAUGAGCACCGCAUGGAGCUCAUGCCAAAUAUCCUUUAUGGGAUAGCGCAUGGAUGGACCUAUGGCGCAUUAGCUUGUUGGCGGGGCAACGGCCCACCAAGGCAACGAUGCGUAGCCGGCCUGAGAGGGCGGACGGCCACAUUGGGACUGAGACACGGCCCAGACUCCUACGGGAGGCAGCAGUAGGGAAUUUUCGGCAAUGGGGGAUUUCCGGACCAUUUGAACGCCGCAUGAGCGAAGAAGCCUUCUGGUCGUUUAGCUCUGUUGUAAAGGAAGAACGGCGCAUACAGGAAAUGGUAUGCGAGUGACGGUACUUUACCAGAAAAGCCACGGCUUAACUACGUGCCAGCAGCCGCGGUAAUACGUAGGUGGCGAGCGUUAUCCGGAAUCAUUGGGUGUAAAGAGGGAGCAGGCGGCCGCAAGGGUCUGUGGUGAAAGACCGAAGCUAAACUUCGGUAAGCCAUGGAAACCGGGCGGCUAGAGUGCGGAAGAGGAUCGUGGAAUUCCAUGUGUAGCGGUGAAAUGCGUAGAUAUAUGGAGGAACACCAGUGGCGAAGGCGACGGUCUGGGCCGCAACUGACGCUCAUUCCCGAAAGCGUGGGGAGCAAAUAGGAUUAGAUACCCUAGUAGUCCACGCCGUAAACGAUGGUCACUAAGUGUCGGGGGUCAAACCCCGGUGGUGCAGUCAACGCAAUAAGUGACCCGC